rnacentral:tRNA from 1 species
GUUUUAAUAAUUUAAAUAAAAUGUUGGUCUUGUAAAUCAAAAUUAAGGCAUAUACCUUUUAAAACU